GACGAACGCUGGCGGCGUGCCUAAUACAUGUAAGUCGAGCGGAUGAUGGAGGAGCUUGCUCCUCCUGAUUCAGCGGCGGACGGGUGAGUAACACGUGGGCAACCUGCCCUGUAGAUUGGGAUAACUCCGGGAAACCGGGGCUAAUACCGAAUAACCCACCGGACCUCAUGGUCUGGUGUUGAAAGACGGCAUCUCGCUGUCACUACAGGAUGGGCCCGCGGCGCAUUAGCUAGUUGGUGAGGUAACGGCUCACCAAGGCCACGAUGCGUAGCCGACCUGAGAGGGUGAUCGGCCACACUGGGACUGAGACACGGCCCAGACUCCUACGGGAGGCAGCAGUAGGGAAUCUUCCACAAUGGACGAAAGUCUGAUGGAGCAACGCCGCGUGAGUGAAGAAGGUUCUCGGAUCGUAAAACUCUGUUGUGAGGGAAGAACAAGUACCGGAGUAACUGCCGGUACCUUGACGGUACCUCAUUAGAAAGCCACGGCUAACUACGUGCCAGCAGCCGCCGUAAAAC
rnacentral:rRNA from 1 species